UACAGAGGUCUCAAGCGUUGUUCGGAUUCAUUGGGCGUAAAGGGUGCGUAGGUGGCGCUGUAAGUCAGGUGUGAAAUUUCGGAGCUUAACUCCGAAACUGCAUUUGAUACUGCGGUGCUUGAGGACUGGAGAGGAGACUGGAAUUUACGGUGUAGCAGUGAAAUGCGUAGAGAUCGUAAGGAAGACCAGUGGCGAAGGCGGGUCUCUGGGCCUUACCUGACGCUGAGGCGCGAAAGCUAGGGGAGCGAACAGG
rnacentral:rRNA from 1 species